rnacentral:misc_RNA from 1 species
GAAAUGCGAUAAGUAAUGUGAACUGCAGAAUUCAGUGAAUCAUCGAAUCUUUGAACGCACAUUGCGCCCGCCAGUAUUCUGGCGGGCAUGCCUGUUCGAGCGUCAUUUCAACCCUCAAGCCCCCGGGUUUGGUGUUGGGGAUCGGGCUGCGGUUCUACCGCGUCCCGGCCCCGAAAUCUAGUGGCGGUCUCGCUGCAGCCUCCAUUGCGUAGUAGCUAACACCUCGCAACUGGAACGCGGCGCGGCCAAGCCGUUAAACCCCCAACUUCUGAAUGUUGACCUCGGAUCAGGUAGGAAUACCCGCUGAACUUAAGC